rnacentral:tRNA from 1 species
AGUAGAGUCAGCUAAAAAAGCUUUCGGGCCCAUACCCCGAAAAUGUUGGUCUCACCCUCCUCUACUA